rnacentral:rRNA from 1 species
GCAAGUUGAACGGUCUGCUUAGGUAGACAGUGGCGCACGGGAGAGUAACACGUAGCUUACCUACCUUCGAGAGUGGGAUAACGUUCCGAAAGGAAUGCUAAUACCACAUAAGCUCCCGACCUGUAGAGGGUUGAGAGAAAAGGGGAAACCCGCUUGAAGAUGGGGCUGCGGCCCAUCAGCUAGUUGGGGCGGUAAAAGCGCACCAAGGCGACGACGGGUAGGGGGCCUGAGAGGGCGAUCCCCCACACUGGGACUGAGACACGGCCCAGACUCCUACGGGAGGCAGCAGUGAGGAAUAUUGCACAAUGGGCGAAAGCCUGAUGCAGCGACGCCGCGUGGAUGAUGAAGGCCUUCGGGUCGUAAAAUCCUUUUCUGUGUGACGAGAACGGACGGUAGCACAGGAAUAAGUCUCGGCUAACUACGUGCCAGCAGCCGCGGUAAAACGUAGGAGACAAACGUUAUCCGGAGUUACUGGGCGUAAAGGGCGUGCAGGCGGUUAUCUAAGUCUGGUGUGAAAUCUGUCGGCUUAACCGGGAGAGGUCAUUGGAAACUGGAUAACUCGAGGACGGUAGAGGCGUGUGGAAUUCCGGGUGUAGUGGUGAAAUGCGUAGAUAUCCGGAGGAACACCAGUGGCGAAAGCGACACGCUGGGCCGUACCUGACGCUAAGACGCGACAGCAUGGGGAGCGAACGGGAUUAGAAACCCCGGUAGUCCAUGCCGUAAACGAUGCCAGCUGGAUGUUCGUACCUCGAAAGGGGUAUGGGUAUCGAAGCCAACGCGCUAAGCUGGCCGCC